AGAGUUUGAUCAUGGCUCAGAUUGAACGCUGGCGGCAGGCCUAACACAUGCAAGUCGAACGGUAACAGGAAGCAGCUUGCUGCUUCGCUGACGAGUGGCGGACGGGUGAGUAAUGUCUGGGAAGCUGCCUGAUGGAGGGGGAUAACUACUGGAAACGGUAGCUAAUACCGCAUAAUGUCGCAAGACCAAAGAGGGGGACCUUCGGGCCUCUUGCCAUCGGAUGUGCCCAGAUGGGAUUAGCUUGUUGGUGGGGUAACGGCUCACCAAGGCGACGAUCCCUAGCUGGUCUGGGAGGAUGACCAGCCACACUGGAACUGAGACACGGUCCAGACUCCUACGGGAGGCAGCAGUGGGGAAUAUUGCACAAUGGGCGCAAGCCUGAUGCAGCCAUGCCGCGUGUAUGAAGAAGGCCUUCGGGUUGUAAAGUACUUUCAGCGGGGAGGAAGGGAGUAAAGUUAAUACCUUUGCUCAUUGACGUUACCCGCAGAAGAAGCACCGGCUAACUCCGUGCCAGCAGCCGCGGUAAUACGGAGGGUGCAAGCGUUAAUCGGAAUUACUGGGCGUAAAGCGCACGCAGGCGGUUUGUUAAGUCAGAUGUGAAAUCCCCGGGCUCAACCUGGGAACUGCAUCUGAUACUGGCAAGCUUGAGUCUCGUAGAGGGGGGUAGAAUUCCAGGUGUAGCGGUGAAAUGCGUAGAGAUCUGGAGGAAUACCGGUGGCGAAGGCGGCCCCCUGGACGAAGACUGACGCUCAGGUGCGAAAGCGUGGGGAGCAAACAGGAUUAGAUACCCUGGUAGUCCACGCCGUAAACGAUGUCGACUUGGAGGUUGUGCCCUUGAGGCGUGGCUUCCGGAGCUAACGCGUUAAGUCGACCGCCUGGGGAGUACGGCCGCAAGGUUAAAACUCAGAUGAAUUGACGGGGGCCCGCACAAGCGGUGGAGCAUGUGGUUUAAUUCGAUGCAACGCGAAGAACCUUACCUGGUCUUGACAUCCACGGAAGUUUUCAGAGAUGAGAAUGUGCCUUCGGGAACCGUGAGACAGGUGCUGCAUGGCUGUCGUCAGCUCGUGUUGUGAAAUGUUGGGUUAAGUCCCGCAACGAGCGCAACCCUUAUCCUUUGUUGCCAGCGGUCCGGCCGGGAACUCAAAGGAGACUGCCAGUGAUAAACUGGAGGAAGGUGGGGAUGACGUCAAGUCAUCAUGGCCCUUACGACCAGGGCUACACACGUGCUACAAUGGCGCAUACAAAGAGAAGCGACCUCGCGAGAGCAAGCGGACCUCAUAAAGUGCGUCGUAGUCCGGAUUGGAGUCUGCAACUCGACUCCAUGAAGUCGGAAUCGCUAGUAAUCGUGGAUCAGAAUGCCACGGUGAAUACGUUCCCGGGCCUUGUACACACCGCCCGUCACACCAUGGGAGUGGGUUGCAAAAGAAGUAGGUAGCUUAACCUUCGGGAGGGCGCUUACCACUUUGUGAUUCAUGACUGGGGUGAAGUCGUAACAAGGUA
rnacentral:rRNA from 1 species